CUGCUAUAGGAGCGUUCCUGUUUCCCAGUGACCGGAGAGGCAGCCUGGGAGUCAGAUGUGGCUCAGACAGGGAGAGGAAAGGGGCAGCCAGCCAUGGCCCAAGGUAUCUGAGAUGCCGCUGCCCCAGAAGAAGCGCUGGGUGUCCAUGGCCAAGGGGCUGGUGCUGGGAGCGCUCUUCACCAGCCUUCUGCUGCUGCUGUACUCCUAUGCUGCCCCCCCACUGCACACUGGCCUGGCCUCCACCAGGACCCCAGAGGGCACAGCGCCCUGCUCCCCGGCGCCAGGUGAGCCCGAGGCCCUGACCCCGGCCAACGGCUCUGCGGGAGGGUGCCAGCCUCGACGCGACAUCGUGUUCAUGAAGACGCACAAGACGGCCAGCAGCACGCUGCUCAACAUCCUGUUCCGCUUUGGCCAGAAGCACGGGCUCAAGUUCGCCUUCCCCAAUGGCCGCAACGACUUCGACUACCCGGCCUUCUUCGCUCGCAGCCUGGUGCAGGACUACCGGCCCGGGGCCUGCUUCAACAUCAUCUGCAACCACAUGCGCUUCCACUACGAGGAGGUACGCGGUCUGGUGCCGCCCAACGCCACGUUCAUCACCGUGCUCCGCGACCCCGCCCGCCUCUUCGAGUCCUCCUUCCACUACUUCGGCUCGGUGGUGCCCUUCACGUGGAAGCUCUCGGGCAGCGACAAGCUGGCCGAGUUCCUGCAGGACCCAGACCGCUACUAUGACCCCAACGGCUACAACGCCCACUACCUCCGCAACCUGCUCUUCUUCGACCUGGGCUACGACAGCGGCCUGGACCCCGGCAACCCGCAGGUGCAGGAGCACAUCCUGGAGGUGGAGCGCCGCUUCCACCUGGUGCUCCUGCAGGAGUACUUCGACGAGUCCCUGGUGCUGCUCAAGGACCUGCUGUGCUGGGAGCUGGAGGACGUGCUCUACUUCAAGCUCAACGCCCGCCGCGCCUCGGCCGUGCCGCGCCUCUCCGGGGAGCUGUACCGGCGCGCCACGGCCUGGAACGUGCUGGACGCCCGCCUCUACCGCCACUUCAACGCCAGCUUCUGGCGCAAGGUGGAGGCGUUCGGGCGGGAGCGCAUGGCCCGCGAGGUGGCCGCCCUGCGGCGCGCCAACGAGCGCAUGCGGCGCAUCUGCAUCGACGGGGGCCGAGCCGUGGACGCCGCCGCCAUCCAGGACUCGGCCAUGCAGCCCUGGCAGCCUCUGGGCGCCAAGUCCAUCCUCGGCUACAACCUCAAGAAGAGCAUCGGGCAGCGGCACGCGCAGCUCUGCCGUCGCAUGCUCACGCCUGAGAUCCAGUACCUGAUGGACCUCGGCGUCAACCUGUGGGUCACGAAGCUCUGGAAGCUCAUCCGGGACUUUCUGAGGUGGUGACAUCCCGCCCACCGGCAGCCCCCUCUGCCCGCUGGAUCGCUGAGGAGGGGCUGGGCGGGGCCGGCCGGCCUUCCCUGUGUCCUCCUGGUGCCCCCCCCAGCUCUGGGGGGAAUGAGCAUUAGGCUGAGUGGGUUAUCUCAGUUCAUCUUCAUCAAAACUCAGCAAUGUGGGAACUGUCAUUCCCUCGUGUCAGAGAUGAGGAAGGGAGCUCAGAGAGGGAAAGUCAUCUGGCCAAGAUCACACAGCAAGUAAGUGGUAGGACUGGAACAGGGGCUGGGUGGGAUGGAAUGUGUGGCCAGAUUAAGAUAGAGUCCAUGCAUGCGUGUGUGUGUGUGUGUGUGUGAUGGGGAGGUGGGGAGUACCUGGUGUAGCACUGAGAGCAGGCCCCGGGCCCAGGCUGAGGGUUCCUUGUAUAAUCUCAUUAAUCCUCACAGUCACUCUUCGAGGUAGGCACAAAUACCAUCCCAUAUUACAGGUGUGGGAAUUGACAUUCUGAGAGAUCAGAAGGGACUUAACUGAGGUACACAUCAGACCCAAAACUAAACCUUCUCCCUGGGACCCCAAGCCCCUUGCAGCAGUGUGGGGAUGCCUCAACCAUAACCACCUGCCUCCCUCGGCCUCCCCAGGGGGACAAAGGCCCUUUCUGGGGCAGAGGACUUGUGGGUCUCUAACUAGGAGCCAGCAGCCAGACACGAAAUGUAGAAACCACAGCCAAAGGAGUUUAUUGGAGAACUGUCUGUACCAGGCUCCAAGCCAAGUACUUGUACACCUUAUCUGAAUAUCCACAACAUCCCAGCUUUAUAGACCAAAGCUCAGAGAGGUUAAGUGAUUUACUGAAGGCCACACAUCUAAUUACUGCCAGAACUGGAUUUCAAGCUGGAUUAGUUGUCUCUUAAACCCUCCCUGGAUCUGAAUCAGUCUUUCUCCUGGGAGUGAGUUUCUGGCCCAAGCAAGGUGGGAAGAAGUUAGGGUGACCAACUCUCUCAGUAUCCUGGGACUGUCCCAGUUUUUGCACUGAAAUUUCCCAAAGCCCAGGAAACUCCUCAGUCUGGGCAACCAGGAUGGUUGGUCAGCCUGGGAGUUUUGAACCCACCAGCCCCCUGGAGCCACCGCCUGCACCCUCCUAAAGUUCUCUGUAGCAAGAAAUAAGCACAUCUUUGAAGCUUUAUUUAAUUCAUAUGGAAAGAACUAAGCAAAAGAAAGGAAGAAAGAAAGAAAAAAGAAAAAGAAUAGCUAAGGUAUUAUUGACUCCAAAUUCAUGAGAUAAUCUCCCCCCCCACAUACUUUUUAUUAAUCAAAGAGAGAUAUGAGUUAGUGCAAUAUGAUAAUAUCUUGGGUUUGUGGAACCUCAUAAUUUUAUUUCCUUGGACACUUAAAGGCCUAUAAAUACCAAUAAUAAUAUUACAUGUCAUCGAAUUAUUUAUUAUUAAUAUUGGCACUUCUAAGCCCUUAGGGAUCCAAGGAGAAUAAAUCUGGCAAAUAGUAGAUGCCAAGAAUAUAAAUUGCUCCAUUAGUAUUUACUAUCUGCCUGGUUUGUUUUAAGAACAUUAGAGUUAUUAACUCAUUUAUUAACAUAAUUAAUAUUUUAACAAUGAGUAGUUGCCUGGUACUGAGCGAGCACUUUGUGCUCAGCUCUGUGCCCUGGGAACAUGGACAGUUCCCUUUGCUCUCCUGAGGAGGCGACCAAAACACAGAGAAACUGAGCAACAAGCCCAGGGUCACCCAACCAGGCAGCCACAGAGGCAGGAUGCAAACCCAGGUCAGUCAGACACCAAGGGCUGGUGCUUGCAGCUUCCAGACCCUCGGUGCCGUUCCAGUUGGCCACCUCAGCCUCGGGAUGGAGGUCUUUUCCAUGGUUGAAAAUGUAUGAAGUCUCCAAGGGGCGGAGCUGCUUGUAGCCUGCAGGAGCCAGACUGCUCUUGCCAUAUCUGGGCAGCAGAGGGCGCCAUGGUGCCAAAUUUGGUCUUAGCAGGUCAGGCAGUUCCCAGCCGCCAGGGGCUGGGGGCACCCAUGGUUAGGCCUGGGCUUACAGGUGAAAGCCAGGGCGAAGGUCAUGGCUGUCGCCUGGGAGAAAUUCAGUGGAACUACCUGUUCCUCUCUGUAAUGGGAUGAAUUGUAACCCCUAAAAAGAUAUCUUGAAGUCCUAACCCCCAGUUCCCUAUGACUGACCUUAUUCGGAAAUAGGGUCUUUGUACAUGUAAUCAAGUUAAGAUGAAGUCAUCAGGGUGGGUCUUAAUCCAAUACGGCCGGUGUCCUUAUAAGAAGUGGCAAUGUCAUGUGUAUCUACACACAGGGACAAUGCCAUGUGAAGACAGGCAGAGCUUGGCGUGGUGCAGUUACAAGCCAAGGAAUGCCAAGGGCCGACAGUGACCUCCAGAAGCUAAGAAGAGGCAAUGAAGGAUUCUACCCAGAGUCUCAGAGGGAACAUGGCCCUGCUGACACCUUGGUUUCAGACUUUCAGCCUGCAGAACUGUGAAAGAAUAAAUGUCUGUUGUUU